rnacentral:rRNA from 1 species
AUUGAACGCUGGCGGCAUGCCUUACACAUGCAAGUCGAACGGUAACAGGUUAAGCUGACGAGUGGCGAACGGGUGAGUAAUAUAUCGGAACGUGCCCAGUCGUGGGGGAUAACUGCUCGAAAGAGCAGCUAAUACCGCAUACGACCUGAGGGUGAAAGCGGGGGAUCGCAAGACCUCGCGCGAUUGGAGCGGCCGAUAUCAGAUUAGGUAGUUGGUGGGGUAAAGGCCUACCAAGCCUACGAUCUGUAGCUGGUCUGAGAGGACGACCAGCCACACGGGGAAUGAGACACGGCCCAGACUCCUACGGGAGGCAGCAGUGGGGAAUUUUGGACAAUGGACGCAAGUCUGAUCCAGCCAUGCCGCGUGCGGGAAGAAGGCCUUCGGGUUGUAAACCGCUUUUGUCAGGGAAGAAAAGGUUCUGGUUAAUACCUGGGACUCAUGACGGUACCUGAAGAAUAAGCACCGGCUAACUACGUGCCAGCCGCCGCCGUAACAC